rnacentral:tRNA from 1 species
GAGCAUGUAACUCAGUGGAUAGAGUGCCAAAUUCCGACUUUGGUGGCCGAAGGUUCAAAUCCUUCCUUGCUCA